CCUACGGGAGGCAGCAGUGAGGAAUAUUGGUCAAUGGGCGGAAGCCUGAACCAGCCAAGUAGCGUGCAGGAUGACGGCCCUACGGGUUGUAAACUGCUUUUAUCCGGGAAUAACGCGCCUUACUUGUAGGGCUUUGCAUGUACCUUAUGAAUAAGGACCGGCUAAUUCCGUGCCAGCAGUCGCGGUAAUACGGAAGGUCCGGGCGUUAUCCGGAUUUAUUGAGUUUAAAGGGAGCAUAGGCCGCAUGUCAAGCUUGCUGUGAAAUGUCCGGGCUCAACCCGGGCCUUGCAGCGCGAACUGGCGUGCUUGAGUCCGCGGAAGGCAGGCGGAAGUAGGCGUGUAGCGGUGAAAUGCUUAGAGA
rnacentral:rRNA from 1 species